rnacentral:lncRNA from 1 species
UAGCACAUCCCUACUAAAAAAUUGGAAGCAUUUAUGCUCAUCCUAUAACUAUGGGGUAUGCUCUUCAUACAUCUUAUUAUCUGCCAUGUGUACUUUUACUUAACCCUAAUUAUUUUUUUUCCACAUUGAAAAUGAUCUUUUAAUAUGCAAGUUAACCAAAAUUAGAUGAAAGGAUACAAGGCAGAUGAUAAGGUAUAUAGUGAGUAUACAACAUAAUUUAUAGUGGUGCGCAAAAAUGCAUCCCAAAAAAAGAUAAAAUCUCCUAAUUUGAAGGGAGUAUGAUUCUUUUUCCUCCUCAUCUUUCUCCUCUUUUAUUCCUUCCCCUCCUAUUUAAACGGUUAGGAUUAAAGCACACUGAAAUUUAUGGAGAGAAAAAGACGAAAAAAAAGUGUGAGAUGAGGGAAGUAAGAGAUAGAAAAUACAUGUUACAUAAACGGUUAGGAUUUAGCCCAACUUAUGUUUUUGCAAGGGGCUUUUCUCAUAGUGCACAUGUUACUUACAUAUCUAAAUAACAACCGUUAAAUUUAUAUGAACGAACGAGACAAAACUUUACCUUAAGUUACAACCGGGAUACCAAACCUUGAAGUACAGAAUCCGGUAGUUCUCUAUCUUCUCGCUCCGGGCGUCUGUCUCUCUCCUCCCUUCCCUUAGCCAAAACCUCAGUUCCUGUCUAGACCUAGAGCACUGCUGCCAUCACCAACAACUCUUUUGAAUUAGAUGAUGGGUUAAGUGUUUGUGUUGAUAAUUUUGGAGGGAAAUAGAACUUGGUGGAGGUCCUGGGGAGGAGUGGCUUUGGGUGGCUUGAGGGUUUUUGAUAGGUGGAGAGUUGAGUGGUUAACGGAGGCACAGUCGCCAACGGAUUAUAAUCUUUCGGCGGAGGUGUUUGGCCAACGGUGGGGAGAGGUAGGGGAGGUGACCAGGAGAAAGAGGAAGAGGUGGCAACUUUCGGCGCCCGUUCGUUAAGGUUGAUCGGUGGGUUAGAAGUAAAUGGGUAAAUAAAAUGUGCAUGUAGACGUGUGCACUGGGGAAGCAGCCUUUCGGCGAGUUGGAUGGAUGGGCGAAAACAUGGAAUUUUGAAUAUUCUAAGCCGUCCACGUGUAGGGUAGUCCUUUCUCCUCGGCACCGAACUUGUCUGUUGCUGUUAGGCCGUGCCCAACCUCCAGCCCAAAGCUGGGGCCCACUUUAUUCAUCCUCGCUCACCGCAAGUCUGCAACCUAAAGUGGGGCCCACUUUAGUCGGUCCCACAGUUCAUAUACUGUUCAAUAAUAAUAAUAAUAAUAUUAUUAUUAUUAUUUUAUUUUCGGAAGAUUCAAUGUUUCUGUAUCCACUAGUGAAUGUGGGAAAAUGUGUUUGAUGGUAUGUCUGAUGCACCUGCCAUUAAUUACUAAGGUACGAAAGAGAUACCUGCGCAUAUUUUUUGGUAUUUUACUAAUAUUACAACAUACACGUAAGCAUUUUUGUAGUAUUCAAGCUUUCAGCUCGACUUUUGAUGUUAUAUUUUUACUAUGUUACACAAAAUUUACAGC